UUCUAAGGGCGUUGAAGCAUGAUCGCAAGGACAUGUGGAGCGCUUAGAAGUGAGAAUGCCGGUGUGAGUAGCGAAAGACGGGUGAGAAUCCCGUCCACCGAUUGACUAAGGUUUCCAGAGGAAGGCUCGUCCGCUCUGGGUUAGUCGGGUCCUAAGCUGAGGCCGACAGGCGUAGGCGAUGGAUAACAGGUUGAUAUUCCUGUACCACCAUUAUUCGUUUUAAGCGAUGGGGGGACGCAGUAGGAUAGGCGAAGCGUGCUGUUGGAGUGCACGUCCAAGCAGUGAGAUUGAGUGUUAGGCAAAUCCGGCACUCUUAAGAUUGAGCUGUGAUGGGGAGAGGAACUUGUUCCUCGAGUCGUUGAUUUCACACUGCCGAGAAAAGCCUCUAGCUAGAAUAACGGUGCCCGUACCGCAAACCGACACAGGUAGUCAAGAUGAGAAUUCUAAGGUGAGCGAGCGAACUCUCGUUAAGGAACUCGGCAAAAUGACCCCGUAACUUCGGGAGAAGGGGUGCUCUUUGAGGUUCACGCUUCGAAGAGCCGCAGUGAAUAGGCCCAAGCGACUGUUUAUCAAAAACACAGGUCUCUGCUAAACCGUAAGGUGACGUAUAGGGGCUGACGCCUGCCCGGUGCUGGAAGGUUAAGAGGAGUGGUUAGCGCAAGCGAAGCUACGAAUCGAAGCCCCAGUAAACGGCGGCCGUAACUAUAACGGUCCUAAGGUAGCGAAAUUCCUUGUCGGGUAAGUUCCGACCCGCACGAAAGGCGUAACGAUUUGGGCACUGUCUCAACGAGAGACUCGGUGAAAUCAUAGUACCGGUGAAGAUGCCGGUUACCCGCGACAGGACGGAAAGACCCCGUGGAGCUUUACUGUAGCCUGAUAUUGAAAUUCGGUACAGUUUGUACAGGAUAGGUA
rnacentral:rRNA from 1 species